AAACAAUCAACAAGUAAGAGUAGUAUAUUCAACUGCCCCAUUACAGAGAACUUGCGAGACUGAGAAGCAAGUAUGGGAAUUGAAUGGAAUGGACUUACGAGAAUCUAUCUGAAAGAGAGUAGGAUAGGUCGAGUCAUCCCCGUUAACGGAUGAGAGUGUAGGAGUCAAUUUUCCUAAAUUGUGGUGGUACCGCGGUAAUUUUUAUCGUCCCUCA
rnacentral:ncRNA from 1 species